rnacentral:sRNA from 1 species
GGGUUUACUGUUUUGCCCUUGUGUUUGUCUGUCCGUCCGUCUGUCUGUAAACAAAAUUUCUGUCACAUUUUUCUUAGAAACUAUAAAUUGCAGGUGCUUGAAUUUUUAACAUACCUACUCUUUGUUUAGGCAUGCCAUAAAAUGGGAUCCAUUUUUGUACCUGUUUCACUGUGUUAAAUGACGACUUUGUUUAUAUUUAAAGCCUUAAUUUUCAAACAAAUUUUUGUCAAAGAUUUUUCAGCAGCUAUUAAUUGCAGAUACUUGAAAUUUUAACACACUCUUUGUUCAGGGAUUCAUUUUUUAACCAAUUGGACAUCAACUUAUAUUAAAAGUCUACUUUGAUUUUUUAGCCUAAAUUUUCAAAUUUUGUCAAAGAUUUUUCAGCAACUAAUAAUAUACCAAUCGCAGAUUCUGGAAAUUUUAUGUUUUACCUGAUGGAGUUUACAGGCAAAGUCAGUUUUGUCUUCCUCGCUAAUGGGGGCUCUGUCAUUUAAAUGUCGAGGAUCAAAGAAGGCAUUUUUUACUUCCUCAAUUGGCGCAUUCCUGUCACUGAAAUACAAUUGACAUAACAUAUCAUUCAACUCUUAAUGAUUAGAUUGCUUCAACAUAUAUUUAUUUUUAUAAAAUGGUUAUAUAUGUUGUCAAUAUGUUAAAUACUUUCAAUUAAUUAAUUUCAUUGUCAAUCAAUAGAACAUUACAAAUCAAAAUUGAGGUUUAUAUUUGUUAAGUAAAAAUAAUUGUACUAAAUUACAAUUUUUAAAUGUAAAAUCUGAUAACAUAUCUUGUUUUGGUACAUGUACAUGCAUUUCCAUGUUCAAGGUUUCUAUGAUUAAAUACUGUAUUGUUUAUACCUGU